GGAUGAUGACUCUUCCUUUAGCUGUUCUGAUGAGAGCCCAAAGAGUUCGUCAGAUACGUCAGAUUCUACUGAAGCUGAUGAGCUUCAAAGACAAUUUGCCAAUUUGUGUAUUUGGUCUGAGGAGGGUAUCGUCAGUAUGUAAAGCCAGAGCCACGAAAUUCUGAAGACAUUGAGCUGGAUUGAAAAAAGGCACUCAAGAGGAUUUACCCAGUUCCCCCCAAGCGUAAC